UGGAAACAGCCAGCACUAUUCUGAGCUGCUCUGAGCCUGCCUCUCUAUGGCCGCAGGAGGAGCUUCAGCAUGAACCCGAGCCUCAGCAGAUGCAGAGCAAGGGAGGGCAGCCUUUUCACUGUGUGACCCUCAGAAACAGAUUCCUGGAGUUUAAAGAAGAAAGAAGCAAAAUUUGUGCCUCCCUCACCCCACUCCAUGCCCACUGGGGUGGUGCGGAAAGUCUAUAGAACAAAUAUUCUUCAUGACAAAGCAAAUAAACAAUGCAAUCAAAAGAGACAAAUAGCGACUUUAGAUUUUAGUUGACACAUUUUAAUCAGAUUGAAAUUGCUGUUAUGUAUCUGAUUUUAAAAGGCUAAUCUGGUCAAUGAAAGGAAAACACACUCUAUGAAAUGGGGGUAUUGGCCCUAUCU